rnacentral:rRNA from 1 species
AUUGCCCUAGUAACGGCGAGUGAAGCGGCAACAGCUCAAAUUUGAAAUCUGGCCUUCGGGUCCGAGUUGUAAUUUGUAGAGGAUGCUUUUGGUGAGGUGCCUUCCGAGUUCCCUGGAACGGGACGCCAUAGAGGGUGAGAGCCCCGUCUGGUUGGACACCGAUCCUCUGUAAAGCUCCUUCAACGAGUCGAGUAGUUUGGGAAUGCUGCUCUAAAUGGGAGGUAUAUGUCUUCUAAAGCUAAAUAUUGGCCAGAGACCGAUAGCGCACAAGUAGAGUGAUCGAAAGAUGAAAAGCACUUUGAAAAGAGAGUUAAAAAGUACGUGAAAUUGUUGAAAGGGAAGCGCUCAUGACCAGACUUGGGCUUGGUUGAUCAUCCAGGGUUCUCCCUGGUGCACUCUUCCAGUUCAGGCCAGCAUCAGUUCGCUGUGGGGGAUAAAGGCUUUGGGAAUGUGGCUCCUUCGGGAGUGUUAUAGCCCAUUGUGUAAUACCCUGUGGUGGACUGAGGACCGCGCUUUUGCAAGGAUGCUGGCGUAAUGGUCAUCAGUGACCCGUCUUGAAACACGGACCAAGGAGUCGUCUUCGUAUGCGAGUGUUCGGGUGUUAAACCCCUACGCGUAAUGAAAGUGAACGCAGGUGAGAGCUUCGGCGCAUCAUCGACCGAUCCUGAUGUUCUCGGAUGGAUUUGAGUAAGAGCAUACGGGGCCGG